rnacentral:rRNA from 1 species
AACGAACGCUGGCGGCAGGCCUAACACAUGCAAGUCGAACGCCCCGCAAGGGGCGUGGCCGACGGGUGAGUAACACGUGGGAACCUUCCCUAUAGUACGGAAUAGCCCAGGGAAACUUGGAGUAAUACCGUAUACGCCCGAAAGGGGAAAGAAUUUCGCUAUAGGAUGGGCCCGCGUAGGAUUAGCUAGUUGGUGAGGUAAUGGCUCACCAAGGCGACGAUCCUUAGCUGGUUUGAGAGAACGACCAGCCACACUGGGACUGAGACACGGCCCAGACUCCUACGGGAGGCAGCAGUGGGGAAUAUUGGACAAUGGGCGCAAGCCUGAUCCAGCCAUGCCGCGUGAGUGAUGAAGGCCUUAGGGUUGUAAAGCUCUUUUGGCGGGGACGAUAAUGACGGUACCCGCAGAAUAAGUCCCGGCUAACUUCGUG